AAAUAUAUAUAAUUUGAUUUUCACCACAAUAUACGUAGCAACGUAUCACUGUCAUUCGUGAGAAUUGUGAUACGGAAUCUUCUCGAUGUACGAUAACCACACACAUACAACAAUGGUAAGGUACUAGUAUGUUACGGAACUACUUGUUUCCCUUUGGGUCGCGCCGGCUGGCUCAUCGGUUCUCUGGGUGCAGUCCCAUCCCUGGCCCGCAGUCCGCACAAUCGAUACCAACAACGCUAUUCAAAGUGAACCACAUAAUCGAUAACAUCAAACAGCCGGAACUAUUAACAAAUGAACAACACUAACAGCUGUAACAAGAAGAAAAUGUAAACAACAAACAUCGGGCCUCGGUUCCGGACCCAGCGCACCCGCCCUACCUGAGACGAUCACCUGAUCUCGUCUCUCUCAUUUUUGGCCACUAGAUGGCCUGCAUCCGCCCGUGUCGACUGUUAUGCCCACUCUCCCCAUCAAUUUAAACUUAGCCGGACAUUCUUUUCCUUCAAUAUACGCGUAUAAUUGGUUACGUUUUCUUAAAAUUAAUAACAAUUAAUCUCAUUUCUUACUGCAUCUAACGGUCUAACCAACGGUUGACGUGUUUACAAUUAAUCUGCGUGCGCAUUUUCUACCUUUGUUCGCCCAGCCGGCUAAUUAGAACGCCCAACGUAGGCCACACCCACGACCCUGAGAUUUCAGCACCGGGACGGUCGCCGCCAACGUCUCUGCAGGAGUUCCGUUCGGAAACCGAAGUCCAUGACGGGAUCCGUGGCGUCCUUGCCGACAAACCCGCUGUUCCCCUGUUCGAGCUUCACGUAUGCCCCUUCAAAUUCCUAAUCGUCCGCCUCCGGCGGAAAAUCGCCAGCUCUUCGGUCUUCCACCACCAAGGAACGCUACGUUAAAGUCUUUGAAGCUCAUAUAACUACGGUCAGCAUACAUACGAAGUCCAUGACGGGAUCCGUGGCGUCCUUGCCGUCAAACCCGCUUGCUAAUAUUUACCUAGAUUUGAAUAAAUAAAUAAAUAAAUAACAUCAAUAUUCACUAUCGCCAACAAAAAUAGCUCACUUUCACUAACAAAUCUUACAAAUAAUAAUAACUGAAGAAUUAAAUAAAUAUCGACAAAAGAAAUAACUCACAACAAUAA